CCAAACAUAACCACAACAACCAAAACUCAGAUGCGGGUUUUUAAAGAAAAAGAAACGUACGAAGCCUUCUUUCAAAAAUCCGAACAGUGGAGAGCGGCGGAAGAGGAUGAGGAACAACAUACUUUAAAAGCAAGCCAAUCAGACGGGUAGAACUGGAGAUCAGAGAAGGUAUAUUUCGAACUUUAGAACUUAGAAAGGAAUGUCGUAGAGUGUUCAACUUGGCUAAUCGGAGCUCCUGUGUGGGGGAGUACGGUGACACCGUCGCCAGAUUUUUUGCAUCAUGGGCGGCAGAGAUAAAAGAGAGGUAGAGAAUUUUUCUUCUAGUUUGAAGGUUAAAAAUGAAAUUAAAGAAAAAAAAACUUUUAUCAUGAAAGGGGUAAGACCCUACAGCCGCACCAUCACUUUUUUUUUCUUUUACAUUUUUUACUUUUUUAAGGAUUAAAUUACCCAAAAAUGUCGUUUUUUUUAAUUACUGAAAUAUAUCGAUUUUUGAAAUAUUUACGAGAAUAAGUCGAUUUAGAGAAAAACACUUUCAAUUAGAAGCUUUUUUAGGGGAAAUCUAGAAAAACGCUUCCAAGUGGAAGUGCCUUUUGCGUGUCACCAGUUAAACGCUUCCAACUGAAAAUAUUUUCCUCAUGUUAUAUUAGGGUUUUUAGUGUGUUAUGGUUUAGGGUUAAGGUUUUAAAGUAGGGUUUAGGGUUUUAAAUUUUAAAUUGAUAAAAAUUUUAACAUAAUAAUUUUGGAUGUUUCGUUUUUUGGGUAAUGGAGUUCGAUAGACUGUGUACACUUGAGAUAUAGGACUUGCGACUGUGGGAGAUUUGAUGCAUUUCGUUUUCCAUGCGCUCAUGCAAUUGCAGUGUGUAGAAAUUAAUGUUUGGGUUUUAUGAGUUUUGUGGACGAAGUGUACAAAUUAGAAAACUUGUAUAACGUGUGGAGACACGUAUUCCCACCAGUCCCAAAUGAACGUAUGUGGCUGUCUGUAUUGAGCGCUCUGUUUAAGUUGUUAUCUAAUAGGUCAUUACGUCACGAACCAAAAGGUUGAUCGACGCUGCCUCAAAUACUUGACAACAUGGAUAUUUGGAACAUGUCAAACCAAUCGAGGUUAUGUGGGUGGUGUCGAAAUUUGUGACAUACAAUGUUGUUAUGUCCACAUUGAAUGGACGAUGCAAACUAAAAGACAAAUAUCAAUUCUAUUGUAAUAUGUAAACGUGUGGUUCUAUAAAAUGAUAACAAUUAUCAACUUUCAUUUUGUGACAUGAUAACAAAUUACAAGUUUAAUUUUUUGAAAUGAUAAUAAAUAUCAACUUUAAUUUUGUUAAAUGAUAAUAAUAUUUUUUUUAAAAACAUAAUAAUAAAAAUCAUCGAUACAAUAGAAACGUUCGAUACAAUGAUAAAAUUAAUUAGUCCAGAUAUUGGUCAAAAUCUACUCCAUAUUGAGGUGGUCGAUGGUUGCGCCCUGGAUUCCUUCUUGGUUCAUCUUCUGGAUAGGGUUGUGGUCUCGGUAGCUCCUCUUUUUUACCUUUAGUCGAUUGCAACCCUUGCAUUCUCAGUUGCCAUUGUUCAUCCUCCGGUCUAGGAGUAGGUGGUUGAGAAAGUAACCCAGCUUGGUAGAACAAAGAUCCUGGAGGUGUUUGCAUUAUAAACGGCGAAUGAGCAUAACUAUGUUAAGUCCCAUACAUCAAUGGGAUAACAAGUGAACUCUUUGUCAGUGCCUGAAACAUAGACGACCUAUACAUCAUUGUCGACGUCAGAAAAGUAGAUGGAAUAGGCGUGUAAUGCAUCGGGGAUAGAUGUCUAAAAGUCCAACUUGAUAUAGGACUAGAAGCAGAAACAUGUGGUGAAUAUAUGGUGCUUGUGUGAAGAUGAUAGAGUUAGAAUACACACCAGAAUAAGACGGUACAUACUGACCGGUGGGUGGUGUGGGCAUCAGUUCUACGACCGUCAAUGCUAGACCGUAACAUGUACUCCGGAUCGCAUGCUAACUUUGAAACGAUAAUAGGUUUGCGAGUAAGUAAGAAAUCAUAUCGAUUAUUCCACAUGUUGAUAUGUUGGGAGUGAAAUAUUGGUCAAUUCUCAUCCGGUUGCCGCAAGUCGAUAGAAUGCAGAUCAUUAAGGUCUUGAGGUGCCACAGGAAUUGAUUAUCAGAAUUCGAACUGUAGCAACACUCUAUCGGUCUCGUGGAUCUCGACGGUAGUAUACAUUACCAAUAGGACUUUCACAUGUCAGGUGUUGGGAUUCACAAAGAAUUCAUUGGAAUGAUUAGUUAUAUAUUGACAUGACAAAAAUAUUAGUUAUAUAUAUACUAUUAAAUACGAAAUUGACUAUAUUAAUAUUAUAUAGUUCAAAUUUAAAUAAAUAGAUACCUCUGCUUUUGAUCGUUGGUCUAAUAGAAGCCGUAUAUCUUGAAGCUCAGUAGGUAAUCCUAAGUGACUCGGCACAUGGUUUCACCUAUUUAAAUAAUUUAUUAGCAUAAUAAGUUUAAUUUAAAUCAAUAUUAUUAUUAAAAUAUCUAUUGAAUUUUACCUUGUUAGGAGUGAGAAUGUAUACGAGCAAUUUGCUCAGGGAUGUAAAAAUAGAAAUUGGUUUUGCGCCCAUGAUUGCAGUAGUAAAAUGCAACCACCAAAUUUGAUUUUUCCUAGUUGUGUCGCCCGACACAUAAAGAUGUACGCCUGAGUGUAUUGUUCUCUUUGGACUUCAGCCGAAUCCUUAUUGAGCCACCCAAUUUUUUUUAACCAAUUCAUGUUUAUCCGGGCUCUAUAAAUCGUUUUCAGAAUUCUCCCCAAAAGUUGCUUGUAUACGUCUCUCCAAUUGGUUGUGUGAACUGACCCAGUCUAUAACGCUCUGAAUUAUUUAUUUUUGUUUCUGCGAAAUCUAUUACAUGUAUCUGCUUCAGUGGUUAAGUGAUUUGAGGGUGUAUUUGAUGUAUUGGGUUCAAGUUCCACUUUUAGCAAUUUUGUUAUUUUUUUAUCCUAACCUUAUCCCUUUUGGUUGGGCUUAUGUUAUAUUUUCUAUGAACUCAUAUCAGACUGAGCCUGCUAGUUCAAAUGGUAAGGUGUUAGCCUACUUGAAGAUCUCGUGUUUGAAUCCCUUCAUGAGCGUGGAUGAUAAUUUUUGCUUCGGUUGUGUGAUAGAGGUUAGGUGGAAGUGAAAUUCUGGGGUAGUUGAAUGUGGUUAGUGGGUAGGAUUUGAGGGAUAAGGUGUUAGUGGAUGGAGUGAGGAAUUGUUUAAUUUUAAUUUAAUUUAAUUUUUUUUCUAAAAUUCCCUUUAUCUGACGUUUUUUUUCUCUUCUCUAUUUUCUCUCAUGAGUAAAUUUAUUUUCUCUCCAUCCUUCAAUCAUUGAUUUUGAUUAAACCGUGUGUUUUUCUUGGUUGAUCGGUAUUAUGGUGCAUCUGUCGCUUUCUUCUGUCCUAAUUUUUUAUUGUGAUUUGAUUUGGUAUGUUUGGGUAGGUGUAGUUAUUACUUUUGCUUGGUGAUUCUUUAUUGAUGGUUCUUGUUAAUGUCGUUUAGGGGAAGAUCAAAGGGUUCAAGAUUGUUCGUUGGUGGCUCAGUUGCAUGGAACUACCAUUGUUCGAUUGAUGGCAAGGGUUUGGUUGUAUAAUGGAUUGAACGGAUCGACUUGGUUUCGAUUUUAGUAUCGAUUUAAGCGACUAAUUCGAUGAUUUAUUAGUCAAUUUUAAGUUCUAGUUAUCUUGUGGGAGCAUUCGCGAUAAAUCUGAAUUAGGUGUGUAAUGAAAACACGAGAAAAUAAGGUUCAGCGAAAGUAAAAAAAUGGCCUGUUGACGCCACACGGGUGUGUACGGCACAUGGCUCUGUGACGGGCGAGUGUGUGGUCGUGCGGGUCACACGAGCUAGGUUGAUCUGGGUGUGUGGACCUACGCGGACGUGUAAGCUACACGGGCAAUGCUAAUUUGGGCGUGUGGGCCACAAUGGCAUGUGGGCCCAAAAUUCUAAAAAUUUUCGUAGGGUCACAUAUGUCAUGCCGAUCAGCUGUGGGCCUUCUGUAGGUUCGAUAAUGGCAAAACAAACCCUGAUGCAUGUGAUCAGCUAUUCUGAAAAACUGAUUUGAGUUAGAAAAAUCGAUUUGUAUGUUUGACUUUUUAGUAUAUGCAUCUAUAAUAUCUGUAUGCGAGCAUGUGAGUUAUGUUAACUCUGUUAUAUCUGUAUAUCAAUAUUCUAUAUCUGUAUUUGGGGGGAUUUGUAUUUGUGGAGGAAGUGUUCUAUGAGGCGACAUUUCGCCAUUAUUCUGGCAGCUCAGCUGCAAACUAUUCUGAUCAAUGUCAUACGGACACUAUGUGGUGUAUAGGGCUGGGUGAGUGUUUAAUACCCUACGUGGUGUAUCGGGAUGGACGGAGAUAGUGUGUAGAGGACGAGGGUAGGAUUUUGCAUAUUUGUUUGAUUUUGUUGAUCUGAUUCUGUUGAGGACAAAUGUCUGUAUCUGUAUCUAUAUCUGUUCUGUAUACAAAAAACUUGAGUUUAUGUGCAUGUACGACUCUGUUUAGUUACACACUAAGUUUAUAAAAACUUACAUCUGUUUGUCUGUUCUGUUUAGGUAAUCCUCAGACAUAGACGGGUCGGUGCGAUGGAGUCUCAGUGGUGACCUCUAGUUCAAGAAUUGGUUUAAUUAAUAGUUUUAUUUAAAUGCUGUAUUAUUUUGAGAGUUUGUAAUUUUUG
rnacentral:lncRNA from 1 species